rnacentral:tRNA from 1 species
GGAGAUGUAGCUCAGAUGGUACUCGCUUAGCAAGCAAGAGGUACGGGGAUCGAUACUCCGCAUUUCUA